UGCCAGCCGCCGCGGUAAUACAGAGAGUGCAAACGUUGUUCGGAAUCACUGGGCUUAAAGCGCGCGUAGGCGGCAUAGCAAGUGUCGGGUGAAAGCCCACGGCUCACCCGUGGAAUUGCCCGGCAAACUGCUGUGCUAGAGUAUGGUAGGGGAGAGCGGAACUCCUGGUGGAGCGGUGAAAUGCGUAGAUAUCAGGAGGAACACCGGUGGCGAAGGCGGCUCUCUGGUCCAUUACUGACGCUGAGGUGCGAAAGCUAGGGUAGCGAACGGGAUUAGAUA
rnacentral:rRNA from 1 species